GAAUCCGAGCGAGUACCGGGAAAAGGUGGAAUCCGUGCGAGUACCGAAAAACUGUCCGGACCAGUACAGAAAAAUGGUAGAAUCAGUGUGAGUACCGAAAAAUUGUUGAAUCCGGGCGAGUACCGGCAAAAGGUGGAAUCCGUGCGAGUACCGAAAAACUGUCCGGACCAGUACGGAAAAAUGGUAGAAUCAGUGUGAGUACCGAAAAAUUAUUGAAUCCGGGCGAGUACCGGGAAAAGGUGGAAUCCGUGCGAGUAUCGAAAAACUGUCCGGACCAGUUCGGAAAAAUGGUAGAAUCUGUGUGAGUACCGAAAAAUUGUUGAAUCCGAGCGAGUACCGG
rnacentral:lncRNA from 1 species